CACUGCAGUGCAGCUGAUUGGCAAAAGACUAUUUUUAAUCAUUUUUAUUUUUUUUUCUCGCAACUCCAGUGGAAGAAACAAUUUUGUGACUUUCGGAAACCACGAGUGGCAAAGCCUUUGAUUUUAAACAGAUUUCUGUGCUGCAGAUGGAAUAGGACUUCAGAAAUCAGAUGCAGCUUUCCCCUGUGCUUCCAGCAUCAAAACCCUUUUUUGCAGCAGUUCUGGCCCUCCCUGGCUGCGCUCGCUGGAAGGUAGAAAUUCCAACUUCAAAGUAUCUGAAUUUCACAAGAGCUUUUUUUUUCUUUUCCACUUUUUGUCUCCGUAUUUCAUCUGCUUGUCCUAACGCAAACUCUUCCCUCUGUCUGCCGGUGCCCCCUCCACCAGCGCCUCCUCGGGAGCCGCGUUGGUCCCCGUUCCUGCUCAUCCCAGGAGAUGAUUCAUUUCUCGUCCAGUCUCGGUGCUGCCUGCGCCCGCGUUUCAUCUGGUUUGUGCCUGCAGGGCACGAAGCAAAACCUCCCCAGGGCUUAUUCAGCUUCAGCCCCAGGGCUCGGGGAUGGUCCCUCCAAGUAAAUGUGAAUGAGAUGGCUUGGGGUGCUGUGAGGUGGGGAAGGUGUGAAACCUGGACUCAGCUCUUGCUUUUUAACCUGGUCAAGCUGCUUUUCCCUUGGACUGACUGACUGGAGGGUUUUCUCCCUAUGCUGCAGGCUGAGACCUGCCUCACUGUUGAGGAAGGGGAAGCCUUGACCGGGGACAGAAACCCCUGAGUAAGAUGCCUGGAAAUACAAAUUCUCCCUCCUAGCAAGUGUUGCAGUGAUGGGUUAUAUUGAGAUUUACUAAGAAAGCAACGUGGUCUCACAGGAAUCUUUGCUGUUGACUAUCCUGACUGUAAUGGGAAUUUACUCCAAACACUUGCUGCUAUCCUUUUUUUUCCUUAAAAAAAAGAGUCUAGAAAUUCCGACUGCUUUGAGAUGAAACAGGACUAUGUAACGGUGUUAACAGCAGAAGCAAAAACCUGGAUGGGAGAAAAGAGGAAAUAAUUCUUGCCUUGGGCUUCUAGACAUGAUCAGGCUGGAAAAGCACUACUCAAGAUUCACUUCAUUUAAAGUCUGAUGGGGUCAAAACUGGUUCCUCCUGCCUCUUUACCCUGCAGACAGCUCACCCCUCUCCUUUGAACCCAGUGCAGAAGGCUUGUGCAUUUUGCUUGGUGAGCAGGCAGAGCAGCUGGCAGCUUUGACCCAGGUGGGCACAAUCCUGCCGUGGUCCAGGAGGCAAAUUUAGGCAGCUCCGAGGAGAGUGGCGAUUGGCUGGGAGGGUUUCUCUGCUCUGCUGAGGAGGUUUUGAAGGAGGUGUUUCCUGACCACCCUUUGCGGCUGCAUGUGGUGGGGCUGGGUUUUGGUUCAGCGAUGCGCCAGGUUUCUGAAGCUGCCUGGGCGAUGCGAAUGAAAGACAAAUCCUCUGAAACAGCAGCCGCUUUGGUGCUUACUCUUUUUGAGGGGAGACUGAGAUUUGUGGCACUUUUUCAGGGUAGCCAAAACUGGGCUUCAGGGUGUCCUAGAGCCACAUGCUGCAGGAGCUGUAGAUGUGCUUUUUCUGCCUCUGUGGCUGGAAGUGCAUAAAUCACUGCAGCUUGGGGGCCUCUUCCCUGGCUGCCUCCCCUUUUGGGGAACACAACCUGCUGCUCCCCAUGUGAGCAGGGCUGGCUGCUGCUGGAGAGCAUCCCUGGGCUGCUCCCUCCCUGCCCUGUGCAUGGAGAGCCUGUUGUCAGGUAAGAUUAAAGAGUGCAUAAAUGGAAUUUAGAGCUCUGGCUGACCAGACUGAUGGCUCUGGACUAGGCAGAGGAGAGGUGACAUGAAGCACUCUACGCAGUGUACUUGGAAUGGGUUUUGCAAUGCAGAAAAGCGGGAGAGUGUUGAGUCCUGGUCAGGAUUCAUUAGUUGUCAGCUCUUGAUGGGUGUUUGUUCCCCCUGUGCAGUCCUGACUCUCAGUUCAAAUGCACACAGUUGCCUUAAGAUUGAUUGUUAGCAGCAGCAAUAAAUCACAAUCACAGCAGCCGGUGGUGCGUUUUGGAUGCCAGUCAAAAUGCAGCUCCUUGGAGUAUUUAUCUCUUGCAAAGUCAGGGAACCUGGACAUUGAACAAUUAGAUCAGUGUGGCUCUGUGAAGUUGCAUUUGAUUAAGAGAGUAACUCCGAAGUACAAAGCUAUUGCUUUGGUGUUGAUGUGCAUUGCUUAGAAGCCUAUUUUAAAAAAAAAGAGACCAGACACUUAAGUAUAGAUCACCCCUGCAGCAUCGCUCACCAAGCGACACGCUGCACCGAGGCAGGUGGCUUUGUACCAGGCUCCCACCUUCACUUUUCUGCUGUGGCCUUGCUAUUGUCAAAAUGGAGAGAAAAAGGUGGCUUUUGCUGCACUGGAAGCUUGGCUCAGACGUCAUAUCUUGUUUCCCAAUACAGCAGAAGUUACUGGGAUACUUUAAAAGACCUUUAAGAUGGAUAUACCUGUCCCCGGGAGGGGAUGGGCGGGCUGCUCUGGGGACCACAGCAGCUCUGCGGGGUCACAGCAGCAGGACAUGGCACUGGCUGCAUGUCCCAGGUAGAUGCUGUAGUGUCACAGGUGGAGGUGGGUGUCCUCAGUUUGCUCCGCUAUGUCCCCUCUGUGUCACAAACAGAGGAUGGGCUGUGGCCACAGCCUCUGCUCUGAUGUUGUAGUGUUAAUAUCUUCAGUACCAACUGCAGUCAGCUGCUUUUUUGCAAGAGGUGUUUACGGCAUUUUAGUACUUGGGCCCAUUAAGAUGAGUAAGAAUUAGGCAUCCAAAACGUUUCAGGAGCUCUGAAAUAGUCACGCGAGCAUGCAGUCAUGCAAGACCAACCCCUUUGGGAUGCUUUGUGGUGUUUUGAGGAGAGGCUGUGUAGGUCUGGGCUUGUCAGCAGAGCUGGUGCGAGUGUGAGGAGGGAGCUGGGUUGGGUUCUACCUCGGUGUGAGUGCACACCGACGGCUUUCCCGGGGCUGAUGACAAGCUGUAAGCACAUGUUCACUCCAAACAACUUAUUAAUGUACUUGUCCAUCAUACUGCACACAGAGAGUUGUGGGGGUUUAUUUACUUGUUUUUAUUCCUCUCAAAUCUCAAACCAAGGCUCUGCAAGGUUCGGAUGAGGAGAAUCAGGUUAAAAACCAAAUGAUGCAUGACCCUGACAGGCCCCCCCGCUUUCUUUUUCUCAUCUCUAUUUUUUUCCCUUGCGAGAUCUGCUGUUUCCCUCUGUUCUGCUGAGCAGGUCUGUCAAAUUUCUGUUCUGAGGAGGAAAGCUUGAGGUUCCCCAAGAGCCUGGCACGGGUGCUCUGCCUCCCCGCUCCCAUGGGGAUGGAGGAGCCAGAGCUAAAUAUAAGCUGGGGAGGGAAAAAAAUGGGGAGUGGGGGAGGGCAAGCAAGAGGAUCUGUUUAUUUUCUCUCUGAUCUCUGAGCCCUGUUAUGUUUUAUUGCUUUGCAAACAGGAGGUCUGGAAAGCUUCCUUUCCUCCUGUGCCAGUGCAAGGUCAGCUGGGUGCAUAAUUCCUGCACUUGGAGGGAAAAAUACUAAAUAUGACUAGAUUUACAGUAAUAUUGUAAAAGUAGCAUGAAACUGGAACUCUGUUUCUACUCUCCAGGCCAGAUUUUACUGUAAAUGUCCAAAUAAACUAUUUAUAUAAACAAUUUCUGCAAAUCUGCACGGUGCCUGGAUGCACUUGCACCCUGCUGCUGAGAAUUCCGAUCCGAUGAGUAACCUGUGGCAGAAGAGCAACUUUUAUUGCAGAAAACCCCUACGGAAGGUGAUGCAGACAGGUGCUUGAUGUGCAGCAGAUGUUGAGGAAGGCCAGGCACCUCCAGCACAUUUGCUUUUUAUGUGAGCCCAAGGAUGUGGUCGCCGUUGCCUAUAGCCUGGCGAUGCUUCAAAGGAAACUCUUCCGUUUUGGGGUGCGUGGUGUUUGAGUAGCUGUGUCAGAGAACAAAGAGAGAGUAUUAAGGAAUAUAAUCGAGACUGUUUGUGGUGUAGAAAAGCACAAUAUGAAGCAAAGCUUUAAGGAAGUAGACUAACUUCAAAAAAAUGUUCAGGUUUAUUCAGCUUUUCCGAUUUGUCAGAAGAUGCCCGACUCCUCGGUGAGGUUUCUGGGCUGAAUCAAGGUCUUCUUGGACUGAGUCAUGAACAAAUGUAACUGGUUGUGAGUAACUGCUGGAACCAAAAGUGAGCAUGGAAAAUGGGCUUUGUAUUUUCUCCUGAAGUUCUGGUUUAUGGGAAAAGACAUUGGUUUUUCUUUCCUGCUCUGUCUUUCAGCGCUGUGUGUGGGUAAAAGCACAGCUGUGAGCUGCUGCUUCUGUGUGUACUGCCUGUACAUGGGGGCUUCUGACACCCCCAGGAGACUGUGCCCAUCACUUACUUUCUCUCUUGGUCUUCAGAUUCUGGACUGACUUUAGGACUUGGGCAAAUGGCACAAAUGUCAGCCAGCACGCAUACAUGUCGCUUUUAAAGAAAUUCUGCAUUGUGUGUCCUACACAUUAAAAAAAAAAUCCUAUUCAGGGUGUGCAUCAUGUUGUCCUCCAUCUUCAUGUGCUGUGUGUGCUGUCCUCCUUUCUGUUUCUGGGUUCCCGUUAACCCAGGACUCAUUCAUGGCUUGAGGAGCAAGGUUCAGAUGCAGAAACAGCCCAGUCCCCAGCCCUGUCCUUCGAUACAUCUCAACAUCCUCAUGGCAAAAACAGGGGUGGCACUUCCCACCACUGUGACCCCACAUCUGCCUUUUCUGGAGACUCUCAUUUCUCGUCCACAUCUGGCUGAGAUACAGGGUAGCAUUAUAGGACUUGAGUGGAAUCAAAAUUACAUUAUAAUUGUAAACAUUUGUCCAGAAAUUAAUGUUUCUGAACUAAUGUUUCUCUCCAACCAAUGCAUUAGGAAACAAAUUACUCUUCUAAUUGAUUUUUUUUUUUCUUUUCAGUAUAUAAGGGGAGGUGUACAUGUAGAAAAUCAGCCGUGUAUAGCUGAAAAUCCCUCUCUUUCAGCAGGUAUCAAUGUAAUCACUCAACUGAUGUAUUUGCUUGUCCUCUGGCAGUUAUCACCUAGGAGCUGCAUGUCUGCCUGGAGGGGGUCAAUUUUUCUCAUUUUUGUUUCUUGAGCUGAAUCAAGUGUUGACAAUCACUAUAAACAGGCUCCCAUGUCUAAUAAGUUUACUUAUAGUCCCAAAAAAGUGUACCCGUAGGGGAAAUGUUAUUGAUGGCUUCCUCUCUUGGUGGGAAGGAUAGAUUUGAUGUCUUCACACCUCUGAGAUUGUUAAUUCCACCAUUUGUCCCAAUAUGUAAAACAGUUUAAGCAAUAUCCAAGGGGCUUUUAGCAGCUGAUCGAUGGCUUCUCUGCAGUAUAGGUACUUGGCUCCAAAGCCUUUGUCUCUGCUGUGCCAAACCAACUGCCCCAAAACCCUGGAAACCUAACACAGAGAACUGACAGAGCGGGAGCAGAGUAUAAAAAUAAGUGUAAAAUAAGUUGUAAGGCUGAAAAGCUGUGAUUCAUUGUCUCUCGUGUAAGAAAGGUGAGAUGUUGUCCUGCUGCAAACUAGGUCUCAAAGGUGACAACAGAUUUCAGUUGCUUUAGGAGGGUAAAAAAGGAGAGCUGCAGGGUCAGUGUCCUGCCCAGGAGCAUCCCUUGCCUCCCUCUACUGUUCUGGGUGCCUUAGCCCAGCAAUGCAUGAAGCUCUUCUGCCAGUAGAGAGGGAUUUCCUCUAGGAAUUGUAGGAAAUGGUCAAAAAGCAACAGCUAGGCUUCGUUUUGCAGCCUGUAGAUGCCAAGGGGGAAGCAGGAAAGCCUGACUGGAAGGGGAGCGAAGACAAAAGGAGCAAACUGGCUUGGUGAUGUCCCUGCAGGAGGGGAAGCAGCAGCUCCUGCGGAGCCGAGCACAUGGCUUGGCCCUUCCAAAGGGGCUUGUGGCCAAAAAGACCCCACCAGAAUGGCACCUAGCUAGUGCAUUUUGGAAAGCAGGGUUUGCAUGUGGGCAAGUCAGCUGUUUACAGGAGCUGGGCUUAACUUCUGGUGUGAUGGAAAAGGUUACUUGUGAAAGGUGCUGUGAAGUCCAAAUUCUACCUGUAUGAGACUCAUAAGUGGCCAUGAGAUUACAGGACCAACUUUGCAGCAGCAGUGACCACACAAAUGAGGUUUUUGGCCACUUUGAAAGCUGGAGAUCACAUGGAGCAACCUCCCAGCCAUUGACCGAUUGCUGAGCCUCGGAAACGCUGACAUCCAGGAGUGCAGAAAAGCGACCAUGACCAGGGGCAGCUCAGGGUGAGUUGGAUGGAGAUACCUCCUGCAAGUGUAUGGCAGCAGCUUACCCUGUCCAUGAUGGUAUUAGUCAGCUUUGCUUCAUACAGCGUUCUCACUGCACACCUUCAGUAACAGCUGGUGAUGGGUCCUAGCACUCGUUUAGUAUUUUACAGUGAUUUCCCUGUGUUGAUUUGACUUCACUUCUAUCAGCCUAAACAAACAAAAAGUAAUCAAAGUUUGUUCACAAGUGAUUUUUCAUUAGAGUUUCUCUUGAGGAGCAGAUAAUCUGGUUUUUUUUGUUGUUGUUGUUUUUAAUAAACCUGUAUAACAAAGGAUUUCAUCAUUGCUGCAAUACUGAAUGUAAUGUGCUUGCAAUAAUUAUUGCCACUACUAAUGGUGGAUUGGAAUUUUGCCUUAAUUAUAUCAUUAAGAUACAUUUCAUGCAUUUAAUUGUUUUUGUAAAAUGACAGCUAAGCUCUCCUGCCUCACAUUUCCCAUUUCCUGAUUCGAUUACUUCACAUGCAAGGGCGACCUGCUAGUAAUGGCCUUUCACAGCUUUUGCUUUCCAGGGGAAAUCAAGUGGUUUUUGGUUAGAUAUGCCAAUACAUUUCAGGUUAGCAAAGCUUUUCUGUGCUGUUUGUCAAUGUUAGUGGUGAACAGAUGCACUGAACUCCCUCUUCUGCCUUGCUGGCCUAGAUUUCAUGAAAAAUAGUAGGGGGGAAUGAAGUAUCAAGACAAGCCUGAGAAGAACAAGAAGGUUAAAAAUCGAUCUGCAGGCCUUAGCACAUGCCUUGCUGCACCAACAGGGGGUUAAGUUUGGGUAAAACAGCCAUGUCUGGCCCCAAGGCAGGAGCCUGGGGACCAGGGGUUCCAGCCUCAGGGGGAUCACAUGCGGAUACAGGGAUUCACUACCAAAAGUUCCUGGGUGUUGAUCACAUGAAAUGCAGCUGCUGGAGGGGAGCUGGACAGUCCAGACAGGUCCAUCCUCUGCCACCGGGAACAGACAGAGCUCAGCUAUGUGAAACGGGAGAGGAUCUUCUCUGUGUCCCCAGCUUCCAAGCCGAUACAGCUUUCACAAGAUACUGUGACCACACAGGAUAUCACAUUUGGAAAGGGAUGUUUUUGUAGGAAGACCUGGGAGAUCUGCACCUUUCUUGGUUUGUUCUUGUGUGGUAGUGCUGAUUUGUUAACCAUAACGGUGCUGACCUCCGGGAGCAGGUCAGUGAUGGGAGAUGGAGCUGAAACUCUCAUUCUUCUUAUGGGGCAGCACCAGCCAGGAGGCUCAGGGCUUCCCUUCUGGACACAUGCAAAAUUUCCUGCUUGCUCUUUGAAAUGAAGUUGGCUUGUGUUUUUGCAUGGCCAGAACCAGUCACCCACAGCAAGCCCAGCCUUCUGGCAAGGCAGCUAGGAAGUAUAUGAAUCAGCGCGGUCCAUUGUGGUCCAAAAUAAGACCUAGAGCCCUUGGCGAUUAUGAUGUAUAUGGAUUUGGUUUGCAUGAGUAAAUACAGUUUUCACUGGACAGGAAUUUGUAGUUAUGUUUGCAAUUCCCAGCUGCUCAGAGGGAUGGGAGUGGUGUGUACUCCCUACUUUGUGCCUUUUCUGACUGCAGCUCCCUCCCAAAUCUAGAAUCGUUGUUACAUGGCUACACAGAAGCAAAAUUCAGGAGGAGAGUUAAGAAACAGGGGAAUCUCUGGCUGCAGUAAUCACUACAGGAAGUAUCAUUAAGUUGCCUUGAGGGUUAGAUAGCUUUUUGCUUGUUUUUAGCAUCACUGCUGGAUUUUGGGCUGAGGGUGGUCAAAACUACCCCAAAGGCCAUUCAGAUCGCUAGUGCUGUUUGCAUUGUUAGACAUGGAAUGUAAUGAAAAGCAGGUAAAGCAACUGCAGAAAUGUGAGUGGAUUUGUGCAGACAACAGAGUGGGAACUUCCAUGGCAGGCGACAGACACAGCAACUGCUCCUUCCCACUGACGCUUGGACAAAUGGCAUUCUGAGGCAUUAGAGACCCACUAGAUACCAAAAAGAAUGGAUUAAGAGGUGUGGGGAGCACUGAUUUCCGCUAUAUGAAACAGUGAAAUACCAUCUCGCAUCCUUCUACUAGGAAGCUGAAUUUCCAUUUCAAUUUUGCCUAUAGAUUCUGUUUCUAGACCGUUUUGUCAAUAAAUACCGUCCCCUAACUCCCCUCCUUGCUGUCAUUAUUAGAAACAAAUUUAUGUUGUCAUUUAUUUCAGGUUGUCCAACAAAUUUUGGAAAAAAAUGAGCAUCAUUAAUUCUUGUUCUCAGAAUAAACCAACAGUAUAAUAUAACUACGUGGCAAUAACUGUAAUGUUUGUAUUUUCCAGUCUUCAAAUACUUGGAUUGGAAAUGAGAACAUCAUAGUUGAGGGUUCUGAUAAUUAUCUCUCUGCAAAGGUGUUCUGUUGCUACACUCAAUAUCUUAUUUGAAACCAGCCAUGAACAGAAGUCACCAUAAGCAACAGUAAACAAUAAAAAUUCAUCUUCCUAGAGAUUGUUGCACUGCAUCUGUUGUGUGGGAAAUAACAACUCUGAUUUUUGUUUUGUUUGGGAUUUCAAAAUGGUUUGUGGAUGGGAAAUUUCAAACCAGUACCAUCAGGAAAAAUGAACUGCUUCUAUUUAGCUAAAUUUGAAAUGUUAUAUGAUAAUAUGGUUGUUUUUUAAUGCAAUGUGUUUAUGUAUAUAUAUGUAUGUACACCCUGAGAUCAAUAUUAAUGUGGAAACAAGACAUUUCUGUAUCAAAAUGAGAAGGAAACAUCAACAUAAUUCUUCAUGCUUUUUUUUUUUUUUAACAGAAAAAUGCCAAGUGUUGCAUGUUGUCAAACUGUGGGCAACAUGGUGAGCUGGGUUUGGUUGAGUUGAGCGUUGCCUGAGCUCAACUGAACCGUGUUUUCUCCUGGAGCCGGGACCCUCGGCCUGCUCGCACCUGCCUUUGAAAUGGACCAUGGGCAGCAGGUUCGUGGGGUCUCUUGCCUGGCUCCAGUGUAUUUGGGUUGGUUGGCCCAGAGCAGGUUUAAACUUCAACUACUGAAAUGCAUUCACAGCCCUUCACUGGAAAGUAACGUCCCAGUGCAGGAUGGGUUUAGAUUGUACUUUAUACUUAUGCCUCCCUUUUUAAUUGCUAAUUUCAAGUGACACCAACCUUCAGCAUUGCUGCAGAGCCAGGCAUGACACCCCUGCCCCAGCUCCUCCUUUCCAGAAGGGACAGGGACCUCCUGGGAGGAGACGCUGAGCAGUGGCUCUGAAGAGCAUCAUCAGUGGAAACGAGAAUGAAAUGAGCAUUUUGGAUGUUUCCAAUCUGGAUGCGUAGCCACAGGAGACAGGCGGGAGCUUUGAAGGUGAGGUGGCACCCACAGCAGGACACGGGGGAAGGACACCUGCUCUCAGGGUGGGGGCCAGCACCAGCUCCAUGCAGACAUUUAAUUGCCUUCUCAGAUCUUCAUGUCACCUUAAUCUAUUGAAAUUAUUUCCUUAUGAAAUAGUUCCUGAUGUCCUUAUUAACCAAGGAUUAAUUAAUUAUUAAUUAAGCAGCUCAGGCUACUUAUUAAUUCAACUUGUUAAUUAAGUAUAGGAAGCUAAUGAGGCAGCUUGUUAAUUGAGAUGUUGGGGGAAGGUGAGGAUGAGGAUCUCUGCCUGGUUCCUGCAGCAGAGAUGGGAAUGUGGCUCCUCAUGGGGCCAUUGGUUUUGGGAACUUUCUGAGCUGGUUUGUGCAGUCACAACUUGGGAGAAGGUUUAUUUGUGUAUAUUGCUGUUGUCAGCUCAAAGCAACGUGUUGAGAAGAGCCUUCAAGACUUGCAGGCCAAUAUUUCAACUAAGCUGUGCAAGCAUUGGGACAGGACCACCAUGACCAUGGGAUGAAGUAACGUCGGGGUCCUUGGGACGCUUACCCAGAGUAAAAGAUUUGACAGCAGCCAAACCACAAAUCGAUGCCGAAUGUCUGAAAUGACUGACACAUAACGACAUCUGCCUCAUUAGAUCAGCUCACGGCUCCAUGCCAGGCAGUGGUCAGGUUGGGGAAUUAGAGUCUUCAAGGUUUCCUCCUUUCUCGUUCUACCUCCAAAGUAAUUGCUGCAUGAGUCACGGACAGGACAUCCUCACAGGAUCCAGCGACUGACUCAAAUCAGUGGGAAUAUUUUUCUGAUGGGAGAAGGAUCAGACCUGAUUCUGUAACCAUUACUCACCCCAAGCAGCACUGGUUCAAUCAGUCUGUUCAUGUAAGUAAGCCUUCGCUGACGUGAGUGAUGGUGGCAGAUUCUGGCCCUGAGUUAUUACAUGAAACCAUCUCGGGCUCAGGAGAAAGCUGCAUGACUCAGAUCUAGCUUUAAAAAUAAAAGUUUUAAAUCCUAAGUUAUAAUGUGCCAUUUGGCUCCUGCUGAAGUUGUUCUUAAAAGGCUGUGCUGAAUAAUAAAAAAGAUCAAGCUUUUGAUGUUAUGUUGCAUGUUCAAGCAUAAAAUCCAGCCUUGAUGAUGAAGCUUAGCCUGGUUUAUUUCACUCAGGCAAAGACACUGAACAAGAACCUUACACUAUUUCUCACUUAGAGGAAAUGUCUGUGCAUUAAAAAAAAAGAAAGUUUUGACAGAUAAGUAAUUAGGAAACAUCUGGCCAAACCCAAGGCAACAGAAGUGAUUCCAAUCAAAGGUGGUUCAUUGAAAGCUUUUCAUCUCAGCUCCAACAGAAACAGCAAACUUAGCACUUAAAAAAAAAAAUUCCAGCUUUCUGAUGAAGUGUUAAAAAGACAGCGAAAAGUGCAUAUACAUCCACCCGGCACAAGAGGCUGAAAGGAGGAGGAGAGAAAAUACUGUGCUGUGCAUAUGCAGAGGUGUGUGCCAGGGGCCCAGAGGCAGGGCCAGCGUUUUGACACUGUCGCGGUGGUUUUGAUCGCCUUCCCAGCAGCUGCCUGGCUGCAGGAAUGACACGUUAUUGUGAGGGCCGGUGAUGGGAGGGUGCUGUGGUUGCUUCACGAGUCCCUGGUACCCACCUCCAGCGGUGCCUCCUGCACCGGCUGCUCCCCAUGCCCUUGCCCAUGGGCAUUGCUGGGGCCAGGGUGGCUGGCACGAGCCAGCUGGGGGUUCCUGCAGCCUCGACAGCCCCAGCAGCAUUCCUCCUUUUCCAAAGGUUUGGCAGAGCUGUGUACAAACAAUGGCAUGUUCCUACUGGGGAUUUGGGGUGAGCAACGCUCCCUUUCAACGGGCUCUGUUUUGCUUGGCACAGUGUUUUGAAGAUCUUUCCCCAGAUUUAGUGAAAGCUGGUAGUUGGGAGUCUCCAUUAAAAGUAAUCUUGGAACUGUUUGGGUGCUUACCUCAACUAAUUGCACUGGAAGGACUUUGGUCCGCUCCUUAAGAGGUGGUGUUUGCUUGUCAUGUUUCAACUGUUGCAGCUCCUACUAGAGAUGGUCCUCCAACUUUUUAAAAUUUCAAAUAAGUUUUAUUUUGAUCUUUUUGGGCAAAGAUUUAGAUGCAUUUUUUUUCUCCACCCUGGCAGGUUUGCAUAUGUCCAACCUCUUCAGCCUCCAUGGCCCUUCCUUCAUGGUAUUGACAUGUAGUAUCUCAGCAGGGUGGACAGGACAGCCACCUCUGUGCUUUGCAGGCACUUGGAAUCAAACCCUGGUAUUGGUGUGGCUAUUGCUUCUUUAAAUUUGCCCAUUUUUUUUUCUUUUUAGCACACCAGAUAAAAAGCCCAGACCAAAACUUGUUGCAUCUCUGUGCUGAGCAUCCACGUGCAGACCUGAGCUCUGCCAAGGAGGUUGGAUGAGACUGUGGGGCCCUGGAGAAGGGAUGGGAGAGGACAAGUGCUGGCUAUGUGUCCUCUUGCCUCCCUGCCCAGCAGAAGAAGAGGAGGAGGAAGGUUGGGAUCAGUGCUCUGGCAGAGCAGCCAUUUUAAACUGCUUCUUGCACAGCUGGAAAUCAUUGUGAUAGCAUCAGCUGCCAAGGGGAGUGAUGAGAUUUGGCAGGAUUCAGAGGGAAAGAGGUAGCAGCUAAAUCAUUUGUGAACUGUAAGUGCUUCAAAGACAUAGCGAGGGGCCCAGGCUCACUGGCGGGUACCAGCAUCGGUCCCACUGCCCCACAGCUGCCCAGCCCCACGGUGGGAUGGAGCAGGACCAAGCAUGGCAUUUGGGGUCCUGUGAUGGCACCUGGGAGGGCACGAGGCUCCGCACGGGCUGAAGGGCACCCCCAGGGCUUAAAUUGUUCCUGCAGUUUGUUGUCCUGCCAGUGUGACCCCAGGCACAGUCAGCUGUAAAACUGGGGGGAUUUAUUACUGAGUAAGGAAAUAUGUGCUCUGUAACCCCACCACAAAAAAACCUCCAUAAAGCAAGAACAGGAAGUGUACAAUAUAUUCCUUUCCAAAUUAAUUGCCAUUAUUUUGAUUAAAGCGCAUUAUCAUAUAAAUAUUUGAUUAAGAAUGUGAUUAAAUCUUUCUUGCUCUUGAACUGUGACAACUUUAAAGUCUAACCUUUUAUAUCUUGGCACCACAUCAUUAUUUUGCUCAUUAGCUACAUUUAAUAAUUCGAUCUCAUAACAUGCUUUGCCAUUUGGAACCUGCCUUUGUGUGCCAAGUUCAAAUCGAUGCUGUUAGUUAUUUGUGCCACUGCAGAUAAUUGAACAAAAAUUAAAAGCAAUUUAACCUUGCAGUCUGGCUUUGGGUAGAUGAGCGUUCGAGAAAGGGAGCAGAUCACAGAGCACAACUCAACGGGGGUUUUUCUGCCGUUGGCUGCGUUGGUGCAAAGCCAGCCAGGAGCAGCAUGGGAAGGUGGAGAUGUCUCCUGGCGGGGCCAGGGAGGCUCCAGUAAUUCAAAAAGUCCCUUUACAUCAUGUAAGGCUGCUGGGCAUUGCAAACAGAGGGAGCAAACUUGCUGUGGACUCUUGCAAAUGAGGCAAUGAGUUAAAUGGUGAGCAGUUGGGUGUUUGGUGCGUGGCGGGGGAGCAGAGCAGCUCCAGCCAUGGCCACCAAGGGGUCACCUGUGAGGGAGCAGUCUCCCUGUCCCGUGGGACACAUCUCCUGGGGGUGUGGAUGCUCCUUCUUGCCCUGGCUCCCUCAGCAGGCUCCAGGCUGGUAUUUUUGGACAGCACGGUGUCUUUGGGCUUCUCCUGGCCCUCAGCAGGAUCAGGCCAUCACAGGCUGUCUGGAGGCAGAAGGAUGCCGCCGUCUCUCCCAGCUCCCUCUGAACAGCCAGACCACACUUUCCUAAUUUAAUCCACACACAAAAGCUUGCCUUACAUGGUCACGGAUGCUAUUUUUAGGUUUGCCAAUUAAUCCAGCUCCGUUUGAGCUGGAUUAGAAAUCACAUACCCCCUUAAUUAUAGGUGUAUAAACUCCAGGCUGGCAGCUGUUUUGACAUUCUCAGCUGGGAAAUUUGCCCUAAACAGCCGCCCCCCUCCCCGAGUUGCGGCAGGAUCGUGGGCUCGGGGUUGUCUUCGUGCCCAUCUGCUGCCGUGGCACCGCGCCUGCUCUGCGCGCUUGGACGCCUGCCCCGGGACACAGGAAAAUCUCCCCAGGCCUUUUCUUUCGAUUGAAGACAUCUACCAGGAACGGGAAGUAAGAAGGGGUCUGUGCCGAUGCUUCCAUGGUGGGGUCUCCAUCGGGGGCUGUGGGAUGUGCCUGCCCCACACGAUGGGCAGUAGGGCUGGAUGGCUGGAUGCUGGCACUGCGGGGCACUGAGCCCCCGAGCAGGGCUGUUUGAGGUGCUCGAAGGGCAGGAUGCUGCCCCUCUCCUGGACAGGCUUCCUCGCUGGAGAAAGGGAAACGCUAUGAACUGAUUAACUGCUGCGGGGCCAUAUCCAAACACCAACCAAGGGCUGUGAGCUUCAGCCCCGCUCCUCCACGCUGCAUCCCUGCUGUGGCCAGGAUGGGGGAACGAGGAGGGGACAUGGGGACCUUCUUCUUGCAUGCAGUCUGUGCCUGCUCUCUGCUAAGACUAAUGAGAAAACCAAGUGGGGGAAGUGAACUUAUGAAUCUCUGCAGUGGGAGCUGAACGGAGACCUGCUGACUUCAUCUCUGACCAGUGCUAGCCAGUCCUGACCAGGUCUGGCCACUGGGAGAGCAGUGCUGGGAUGCUGCUCACAGCACCCGGAGCCAUCCAGACCCUCUCGUCUGCUGCCAACACAGUGAAGAAACCCCCCCAUGAGAUGAGAGGGGCCCUGCCAGCCCGCUCUGAUGCCUUCGAAUUCUCGCAAUAGCCAGCGGGAACUGCAAUUAACGUCUGCUGCAAUUUCUUCAUUAUCAUAAUGACAGUGCUCAGCAAAAUAUACGGGAGACAUUGACGGUGACGCCCAGAUGCUGGAACCAUACGAUGCCACAUGGAAAAUCAUGGUGUGGUAUAAAAACUAGGCUUUUAUAUGGUACAGCUGCCUCUGCAUAAUGCCCUUGUAAUUUAUCAGUGUACAGCAUCUGGUUCUUUGCUGUCAUUCUUCGACUUUCAGACAACCAUAAUCUCAAGUGUCUUAAUAAUAACACAGACCUGCCAGACAGGGGAGGAGGGAAGAUGGGAAGGGGGUGGGGAGUAAAAUUGAUUCUUUUGUGCUGUUCAUCCCAAAUUAGAGGGGAAAACCUGAAAAAGGGUAAGUCUGGUGGGGGACUGGGAAUGCUGGAGGGGCAGGAAGGGUGAGGGAUGCUGGAGGAGGGGCUGGGGCUGCACAGCAGGUCCUGGAGGACCCUGCCCGAGGGGACACAUUGCAGAAGCCAUCGCUUUGGUAUUCAGGCCUGGAAGAGCUUCCAGGCAUCUGCUCUUUCUGAGGCGAAUUUCCCUUUGUAGGUUUAAUGAAAACCAUUUGGCCGAGCCUGCAAUUUGAGUGUGUGUGCACAGCAGUGGUGCAGUACUGGCCCGGCAGCCCGGCGUGGGGUGCCACCAUGGCAAACCGGGCUCAGCCACCAGCCCCAGAGCUGUGCGGGCUGAAGGGACAAUACUGGCUCCUGCACUGGCUGCCUGGGAAAAAAAGGAACGCUACAAGGAUUUGAGGCAGGAGCUUUGCCCUUGGAGCUUUGCAACCGCACUGCCGGGUGCUUGUAAGGCUGUGCAAGGGCCAAGCUGCCCAUGGCAGUCCCUCCACCAUAGGGGGGUUCUUGUGGCACAACCCCAUUGUGAGCACCUCCAAGGGUGCCCAAACUGUGACACCUACAGCAGUUUUGGGGUCCCUGACGGUGGGCCCUCCAGACCUGGUGUGCUGGGGGUGUGAAGAGCUGAACUUUUAAGAUCCAUUGCAAGACUGGGAGCAUGAAACCUCAGCAUGGUCAAAACAUCAUCACCCACAUCGUGUUAAUCUCCUGAUACAUCUCCUGUUGAAGCUGGGGGUGAUUUCUGGGGUAUGACUGAGCUCUGAGCAUGAGCAACUCCACAAAGACCUGCAGACAUUACACAGCUGUAAACCCACUGACACCCUCAGGUCACACUUGCUUCCAUAUGAGUAUGAUUCUAUGAUUCUGUGAGUAAGAGGGGACCUGACCAGUGUCCAGUGCAGAUGGGUGCUGUGGGUCCCCAGCACCCCGUGGUACAGCAGUGUCCCAGCCCCUGCCCCAUCCCCAGCAUGCUCUGGGUCUCUGGCAAGGGGAUGUGGGAUGGGGGCAUGUGGGGUGGGGAAAUUGGGGUUGUGGGGAUGUGGAACAUGGCAUGUCGGUGGUGGGGAUAUGGGACAUGGGAUGUGGCAGGCUGCCUGCUACCACCACGAGAUGGCGAGCGAAGGAGCCUCUUUGCGGGCUGUCCUCCAGAACAGGUGCUCGGUUCUCAGCUGUGUGGGAUAUCUCAGUGUGAUUUUCUGAAGCAAGGGAUGAGAGGAGGGUGGGGAACAAGUAUAGGCACACCCAUGGCCAGGCUGGGUAAGAAUAAGGAUGUUUGAAAUGAUCUGAGCAGAAUUUGGUAAUACAUGGUUGUGUGUCCCAUGGCAGUUCAUACCCCUUGACUACCUGUCUUUUUGGCAACAGCCAAAUCUCCAAGGGAAGGGCUGUUUCCCCCUCCAUCCCCAUUACCCCUGGGAUAACUCAUUGUUUCCCGACCUCCCCAGAAUCUGGGAUGAGCAGGAGCAGAGCCAGGGCAGGAAGCCUACUUAGUGCUAACGAGAGGCCCCUGGAGGGUGGGCAGACCCUACAAGAAGGAGUGGAGGAGCUGGAGCUCUGCUUGGAGGUGCUACCUGGGAAGCAGCAGAAAGGCCCUUUCCUGGGUGCAGUGGAAGAGGGGAAUGUGUAGCCCCAUGUAACCAUUCUGUGAAGGUGAGUGAUGGGUGUUGGGGCAGGCUCUGAGUGAGCCCUGCAGUAUAGCAAUGGUGAGCUGUAGGGCUGAGUCUUGCUCAGCUGAUGCUUUCCCUUGAAGUUACCAGCUGUCUCCUGUCCUUGGGGUGCUCUGCUCCACUGGAUGCACAUGGGUACUGUCCUUUGCUGGGCUGUGCAUUUUCCCCUAGUGCUUGCCUGGGUGAUCUGACCUGGUAGGAGCACUUGAGUCAUCCCCAAACCAGCCUGUCCCCAGUUUGCACAAGGGGCUGCCAUGCUACUUCCCCCUGGGUAUUUCUGCUGGAAGAGCUUCAUGUGGAAAGCAGCUCACGCCUUCACUAGAAAAGCUGUCUGCAGGAACAGAAAGGGUUUGUACACAGAAUUCGUACGUGAGCUGUCUAAAUGUGUCCUCAGUGCUGCUGAUUGGUGUGGGCAUUUACAUAAUUGUGACUUAGAAGCAAGACUUGUUCUGGCUGCUAUGGAAGGACCAGGAGCACGUUCAGCUCUGUAACUUCCAGAACAGAAUCCUGACGGUGCAGCACGCAGUCGGCAUUGGUGUUCCCUUAUCUUUCAAUAUCACAGCAGUUACUUUAUUACCCUAUUAAGACAAAUUAGUGUGGUUAUGGCAGCUGCUUUGUAAUGGAAAUUAGUAAUCUAAUAGACACACAGCUAGCACUCUUUCAGUAAUGCUUUGACCUGCAGACCUGUUUGAGUUGUUACAAUUUGUGGCAGUCCAGAGUAUCUUGAUUAUUUUUUUCAUUUUUGGUGCACAGAAACUUCUGUGUAUUUUGUCCUUUUGAGACAGCAGGUGGUAGAGGCAGGUUAUUUUGCCCUGCUCCCUCUAUUUGUAUAUUAAGAUAUAAGCAGCAUAUUUCAUUAACAGUCUGACAAUACGAGUGUUUGGUCCUAGUUGGGACAGAAGCUUAAUCUUGAGAGAGUGCUUGGGUGAGGGGAGAUCUCUGGCUGGAAUGAGUGCAGGUGUGGCCACCUUCACCUUGCCAUUGGAGGUGAAGUUUAUUCAGGCUUGCUCUAAACUGUUUGGCAGGUAUCCAGACUUGAGGCACCUCUCUGCUGGGUCAUUUUAGGUUACUGGGGUUAAACAUUGAUUGUUCUGAGGGGCUUCAAUGCAUGGGCAAGGCCCUGUAGCUUGGUGGUAAUGUCAGUGGAGCCACAGAAACCAGCCUGUUGGUCCUCAGCAUGUGUGCUGUGUAGCUCAGGCUCCUGUGAAAUGAAUUUAGGUUAAUGCAGUCUGUUAAGAGCACAUUUGCAGCCUGGGGUUGUAGUUCAGCUGAGAGGGGCAACCUAAGUCCCAGCAGCAUGCUCCCUCCUAAACCAUGCAUGCAUGCAUGUAUAUUCAUUGGGAGACUUUUUGCACCGUGAAUGUUGAACUUCCCUUCAGCGGUUACCUGAAACACUUGAAACAAGAUGUACUUUUAAAACAAACAAAACAUACAGUUACAGAAACCCCAAAUACUGCUUUCUUUUGUGCAGCACUGAGAGGAAGUGAUCCAAGAUAGCCUGUCUUGUGGGGUGGGCACCCAGCCCCGUGUGACAGGACUUUGUGCUGCUUUGAGCAGGACGCAGCCCAUGUUAGUGGGGUCCUGUGUAGGAGGAGCAGCCUGGCUCUCACGGACCAGUUUCCUUAGGACGAGGGACCUGGUUUGAGCAGACAAGGAGGCAUCACAUGGACAAUGCAGCUUGUGGUAACUGGGAGAUGUGCUUAAUGUCGCUAUCGUGAUUCGAGCCAUGAAUCGUCUGCUUGGAGCCUGCGGCGCUUUUGGUCUCUGCUGGAGGCACAUGUCUCCUUGCAGCCUCCCCGAAACCACGCAUGCUCCAUGCACCACCAAACACUUUCGUGGCAGCAGUGUGCAGGACUUUGGGUCAGGUUUCCUUUGGAGCUGUGCUGCCCCUCUGCCCAAGGGCAACAACACUGGGGAGGAUGAGGUUGGGUAGGAAUUAUUUCCCAAUGCAUCUUAAGUGUCUAGACUAAUACACACUUGCAGGCUCUAGUUAGAUUUCUUUCUUCCCAGGAACCAAGCAGUGCUUAUAGCCUGAGCUGCCUGUUCCUGCUCACCACAGCCUGAGCCACCCAGCAUCCCUUCUCCCCUGCCCCUCCAAACCCAGACCAUCCCAAAAAGCAACAGGUUUUGCUUCCCCGGGAGUGGGAGCCCAUGAGCGUGGUGGCCUGGGCUGCUGCAAUGCUUUUGGGCUCCAGCUUUCCCAUAACUGCUGUGCCAGACCCCUCCUUGGAAAGAAAAGCCCUCCCCAGGCCAGCACAAUCCCCAUGACUUCUGCAAAACUGGCACAAUCUGCCCUGGUAAUUUGCUGAAAAGGCAGAAUACAUAUAAAGUCGAUAUGUCUACCAGUUUACUUAAAGCAGUGUGUGUGUUGCCCUCUGAAAAGACAAUGUUUACCCUGGUGGCUGUAGCACUCAGUUUGUAUAUCCAGGUGAAAUGUUCCUGGAUCAAAGUGCAACCGUACAUCCAACACAGCCGGCUGUGAGCAGGAAUCCAACACGUCGGGGAACAAACACGUUACGCCAGCGGGUGAGCUGGAGCUGCAUUCCUGAGUGUUUUUGCCUGGUGUGGGUGUCCCUGGGAUAACAGAGCAGAUGGGGGAGCUGCCAGGUGUCCCCUUAAUUAAAAGCAAUGUGUAGUUAGGCUUUAUCAGGUUCAGUGCUAAUACAUACACAGGGAUAAAUCCACUUAUUUUAGAGCUGCCUCUUUCCUGUACCCGCUGGUUGUAUUUUUGUGGUAAAUCUUGUAUUCAUCUCCUUUUGUAGCAUUUCCCUUUGUGUUUGUGGAAGCGCUGGGUGAGAGGGACCUCAGGAGGACUCCAGUUUGGUGUCUGAGCUGUUGCCAAGGCUAGUUUGGGUCAGCUGUGUCUGGGUUGGGAAAUCUCCAAGGACAGAGACUCCUUGGCCUCUCGGGCAACCUCACUGCAUUGCACCAACCCUCCAGGAGAAACUUUCUUGAUGUUCAACCUGAACCUCUCCAGGUGCAGCCCACAGCACAUCCCCAGCAUCACAGGACCUGAGGCUCAGCUCUACCAGCCUUGCCAGCCCCUUCUGCCUGGUUUUUGCCUUUGGAGUAGUUGGAGUGAGGCAGCCUGGUAGGUCUGGGGGUUGUCAGUGAAGAUUAGCAUCCAAAGAAAUACAUCUUUUUCAGUAAAAACAAA